rnacentral:rRNA from 1 species
UUGACGGGGCCGCACAAGCGGUGGAGCAUGUGGUUAAUUCGACGCAACGCGAAGAACCUUACCAGGGCUUGACAUCCCCUGACCGCGUAUGAAAGUACGUUUUCACCCUCGGGUGACAGGGAGACAGGUGGUGCAUGGUUGUCGUCAGCUCGUGUCGUGAGAUGUUGGGUUAAGUCCCGCAACGAGCGCAACCCCUACGUUUAGUUGCUAACAGGUGAAGCUGAGCACUCUAGACGAACCGCCGUUGACAAAACGGAGGAAGGUGGGAUGACGUCAAAUCAUCAUGCCCCUUAUGUUCUGGGCUACACACGUGCUACAAUGGCCGGUACAGACGGACGCAAAGCCACGAGGCGGAGCAAAUCCGAAAAAGCCGGUCUCAGUUCGGAUUGCAGGCUGCAAUUCGCCUGCAUGAAGUCGGAAUCGCUAGUAAUCGCAGGUCAGCAUACUGCGGUGAAUACGUUCCCGGGCCUU